AGAACGAACGCUGGCGGCAUGCCUAAUACAUGCAAGUCGAACGAACACUUCGGUGUUAGUGGCGCACGGGUGCGUAACGCGUGGGAAUCUGCCCUUGGGUUCGGAAUAACAGUUGGAAACGACUGCUAAUACCGGAUGAUAUCGAAAGAUCAAAGAUUUAUCGCCCAGGGAUGAGCCCGCGUAGGAUUAGCUAGUUGGUGAGGUAAAGGCUCACCAAGGCGACGAUCCUUAGCUGGUCUGAGAGGAUGAUCAGCCACACUGGGACUGAGACACGGCCCAGACUCCUACGGGAGGCAGCAGUGGGGAAUUUGGACAAUGGGGAAACCCUGACCCAGCCAUCCGCGUGUGCGAUGAAGGCCUUC
rnacentral:rRNA from 1 species